CCAAUGGCGUAUAUUAAAGUUGUUGCAGUUAAAAAGCUCGUAGUUGAACUUCGGGGUUUACCCAUUGGUCAGGCUUAAUUGUCUGCACUGGUGAGAUGAAUCUCUACCUUCUGAGGAACUUUCAUGCCAUUUAUUUGGUGUGAUGGGAAAUCAGGACUGUUACUUUGAAAAAAUUAGAGUGUUUAAAGCAGGCUAACGUCUGAAUACAUUAGCAUGGAAUAAUGAAAUAGGACGGACUGAUUCUAUUUCGUUGUUUUCUAGGAUCACCGUAAUGAUUAAUAGGGAUAGUUGGGGGCAUUAGUAUUCUAUUGUCAGAGUUGAAAUUCUUGAAUUUAUUGAAGACUAACUACUGCGAAAGCAUUUGCCAAGGGUGUUUUCAUUAAUCAAGAACGAAAGUUAGGGGAUCGAAGACGAUCAGAUACCGUCGUAGUCUUAACCAUAAACUAUGCCGACUAGGGAUCGGACGAAGUUAAUUUGAUAAUGACGCGUUCGGCACCUUACG
rnacentral:rRNA from 1 species